AAACGAUGUAAACCUAAAACGUUAAAGUAAAACUGAACAUCGCGUUAAUAAGGAGAGCCGCUUCGGUUGUGCGGUUUGAUUGACAGCUGUGAUUUUCAAUCACAAACUAGGAUGGCUAAGUUUAGUUGAGAGAGCACAUCGAUUUUUUUUGUUGUUGUUGUUGCUAAAUUUCGUAACUUUAGAGGUGUGGUGCAGAAAUUGCGGCUCUGUCAGCGUGCGUCAUAAAAAAACCCGAGAUGAAAGCAAAUAGGAUCAGUCUGUGGAGAGCCAGAGGAGAGGUGUUUGUGCUUCUGGCUUCCAUAAAGAAGAGAGCAGCAAAUGCAAGCGUCUAAAUAUAAGUGUGUUUAAAAGGCCUGCCUAAGUUCCUGUUGCCCUCAACUGACCUUGAUGACAGUCGUUGCUUUACUCAUCGAAUCAGCGAGGAAUUGCUCCGCUGGAGAUACCGGAGCUGGAGCAGCAUCCAUGGACUGAAAUGUGAUCCUGAAUGAAGCGGAAGGAAAAAAAUGGUGAAAGUUGCUGUGGGGGAAAAGCUUCAGUCCAGCUUGGUGAUGAGGUGAUAGGCUUGAUCCGGAGAGAGAGGUUUACAGCUGGACGGAGCUGUGUUUGACGGCCGUGGAGACAGACGAAGGAUCCGGAGAAGCUUAUGGAAGUCAUGUUCUGCCUGCCUGGUCUUCAACCUUUGAUUCGCCCACUUCCUGGAUCACAAGACUCUCCACCUCUGGACUCUGGCUCUCGUACUCCACCACCAAGAUCCCUUGUUAACUAGAGCCGUCCCUCAACUUCGUCAUUCCACCCCAAGCCAUGCGACACUCAAGAGGAGCGUGACAGAUGUGAUGGUCAGAGAGAAGGAAAGCGGGGGUGGAGUCCCGUCAGACCGUCACUUCCCGAAACCACAAAAAAGAAAAACCUCGUAAAAGCGCAUGUGGGUUCUCUUGUCAGAUCAAAACGACACCAAGCUCUUGACCUCUUUGCCUGGAAUCGGCUCGGGGAAGUUGAGUUGGACUGCUGGUAUACCUGUGGACAUCCCCGUCAGAUCCUGUCCAAACAAUCGUAUAGUCAGAAAGAAGAAAACCUGUUGAAUACCAAACACCGGAGGAGCAAGACCGGGUCGACGAAGCCACUGGAACACGGACCAGGAAGGAUUUUAUUUUUUUAUUUUUUUUGGAAAGACACGAGGAAUAAUUUGAGAAGAACAAGAGCACUAGCAAAUUUUCUGCCAGAGGGUAAAGGGCUGCGACCUUUUGGAUGUUGUCUGCAGAAGUUCAACUUAAAUAAUACAAAAAAAAAACUUUAGUAAAUCAAUACAAGCCUGCUGAGAAUACAUGAGGAAAAUUGACACGAUCCUGUACAGAGCAGUUUUUUAAGAGUUCCUGAAAUUCAUGGUGAUGCAUCUACAAUGAAUCUUAACUGUACUUUUGGAUUUUUCUGAUUAAAGGAGUUCUCAAAUGUUUCAAAUUAUUACUCAACUUCUAUUAAUUAUAAAUUGAUUUUAAAAAUGCACACAAAUUUCAAUUUAUAUGGUCAAUUGAAGCGCAACUA